GUCGCAAGGCUGAAACUUAAAGGAAUUGACGGAAGGGCACCACCAGGAGUGGAGCCUGCGGCUUAAUUUGACUCAACACGGGGAAACUCACCAGGUCCAGACACAAUAAGGAUUGACAGAUUGAGAGCUCUUUCUUGAUUUUGUGGGUGGUGGUGCAUGGCCGUUCUUAGUUGGUGGAGUGAUUUGUCUGCUUAAUUGCGAUAACGAACGAGACCUUAACCUACUAAAUAGUGGUGCUAGCAUUUGCUGGUUAUCCACUUCUUAGAGGGACUAUCGGUUUCAAGCCGAUGGAAGUUUGAGGCAAUAACAGGUCUGUGAUGCCCUUAGACGUUCUGGGCCGCACGCGCGCUACACUGACGGAGCCAGCGAGUCUAACCUUGGCCGAGAGGUCUUGGUAAUCUUGUGAAACUCCGUCGUGCUGGGGAUAGAGCAUUGUAAUUAUUGCUCUUCAACGAGGAAUUCCUAGUAAGCGCAAGUCAUCAGCUUGCGUUGAUUACGUCCCUGCCCUUUGUACACACCGCCCGUCGCU
rnacentral:rRNA from 1 species